rnacentral:tRNA from 1 species
UAUGUUGUAGUCUAGUUGGUUAGGAUAUUCAACUCUCACCCAAAAGAUCCGGGUUUGAUUCCCGGCAAUGGAA